rnacentral:lncRNA from 1 species
GAAGUAAGUUCACUACUAGCUGGUUUCAUUUUGGUUUGAUGCUCAGGACGAGUUGAGAGAUUUAUGUCAAGCUAUUAUAACAUUUUAAAAUAGACCUACUAGGCUUUUGAUAAUAUAUGUUCUCCAAAGCCCUUUAAAGAUGAUUCUCUUGCUUCACUGUGGAUGGGCUUUAGUAGUGCUCCUGUGGAGAUCUUAAAACUCCUACAGUAUUGCUUCUCUCCUCAUCCUUCACU